AACGAACGCUGGCGGCAUGCCUAACACAUGCAAGUCGAACGAGAUCUUCGGGUCUAGUGGCGCACGGGUGCGUAACGCGUGGGAAUCUGCCCUUUGGUUCGGAAUAACAGUUGGAAACGACUGCAAAUACCGGAUGAUGACGAAAGUCCAAAGAUUUAUCGCCAGAGGAUGAGCCCGCGUAGGAUUAGCUAGUUGGUGUGGUAAAGGCGCACCAAGGCGACGAUCCUUAGCUGGUCUGAGAGGAUGAUCAGCCACACUGGGACUGAGACACGGCCCAGACUCCUACGGGAGGCAGCAGUGGGGGAUAUUGGACAAUGGGCGAAAGCCUGAUCCAGCAAUGCCGCGUGAGUGAUGAAGGCCUUAGGGUUGUAAAGCUCUUUUACCCGGGAUGAUAAUGACAGUACCGGGAGAAUAAGCUCCGGCUAACUCCGUGCCAGCCGCCGCAGUAA
rnacentral:rRNA from 1 species